CGUACACUCCUACGGGAGGCAGCAGUGAGGAAUAUUGGACAAUGGGUGGAAGCCUGAUCCAGCCAUCCCGCGUGCAGGAAGACGGCCCUAUGGGUUGUAAACUGCUUUUAUCUGGGGAUAAACCUACUUACGUGUAAGUAGCUGAAGGUACCAGAAGAAUAAGCACCGGCUAACUCCGUGCCAGCAGCCGCGGUAAUACGGAGGGUGCAAGCGUUAUCCGGAUUUAUUGGGUUUAAAGGGUCCGUAGGCGGACUGAUAAGUCAGUGGUGAAAUCCGACAGCUUAACUGUCGAACUGCCAUUGAUACUGUUAGUCUUGAGUAAGGUUGAAGUGGCUGGAAUAAGUAGUGUAGCGGUGAAAUGCAUAGAUAUUACUUAGAACACCAAUUGCGAAGGCAGGUCACUAAGUCUUAACUGACGCUGAUGGACGAAAGCGUGGGGAGCGAACAGGAUUAGAAACCCGAGUAGUCC
rnacentral:rRNA from 1 species